AUUUUUCUGUAGCACCUGAAGACCAGCGACGCAAAUACUUAAGUCUGUGCAAAGUGUUCAGCAUUGGAUCUGAAUGAACAAAAGAAAUCAAUGGUAAACUCAGGAUUAGGACCUGAAUCUCUUUCUGAGAACAUUAAAUCAAGCCAGUAAACCUGCUUUUGAAAUUCUCUUCGUGCUACACGGAUCAGUUCUCAUCACACAGACUGCCUCAGUAGGAUUCAUGGGAUAUGUGUAACGACAUGAACUUAUUUCACGCCACAAUGGAUCGUGUCAUCCAAAGUCAUUAUUCCCAUUGGAAAUGCCGUGGUUGCUUGCAGGCUUGGGAGCAUUCGAUAUUCCUGCCUCAAGAUUCUGUGAUGGGAAUGAAAUUCACAGUACGUAGAAGAAUAUGUUAGUCAUCCAAGUUGGAGCUACAAGAGCAGACCCAGAUUUCCUUCAGCAGCCAUCCAGACAUUUCAAAGACUCAACUUGAAAACUGAUCCAAAAACCCCAGAGCAAGCUGCAAGAUCACUUGGAUUUCUUGAUAAAUCUAUAGAACCCAACUGGUGCAGAGCUUGAUGGCUGCUCCAAGCAUUUCUGCAAGCACAAUGGAAGAAGUAAGCAUGGGAAGGACUGAAUUUCAGUGACAGGUCAGGUGUCAGCAGAGGUGGCUUUGCUAGCAGGCUAGUUAGGGCUCCAAUUUAUCCAACAUAAUGAAUACACUUUCUCUCUCCAUUCUAAAACGAAAUUAGAAUCUGCCUCUGAAAAGUUGCUCAGUCCUCUAAUUUACAGUCUGCUAAAUACACAAAAUGUAUUAAGCUUCAUAAUGUUUGUACUGAGGGUCUAAUCAUGCUAAAAAUUGUGUCUUUAUAGAAACCUUCAGGCACAACACUGCAAAGUGAUGGCUGGAUUUGCACCUGCUUUGGCUGCUCUCAAAGCUAGCAUUAAAGAAACUCACUUUGGAACAGGAAUAGAUGAUGUCAAACCUUUCUUAAAUUAAAGAAAUGAAGGGUUUUGAAAGCAAAUACGAUGAAAAUUGGCCAGAUUUUUUUUUUUUAACCUUCUGAAACAAAUAAAGUAAACAGAAAUAUUUUCCACUCUUUGUUUAUGAGGGAAGGCUAAAAACAUCACUGUAAGGUCAAUUACUGUACACAGAAGUGUAUUAUUGACAGUGCAAGAAAUCCUUUCAUCAGUUACUGCAGACUGCUCUCAAAGCAAUGGACCCUGUCUUGAAUUACAUCACGCUAAUUAAUUUUCAAAGAACAUUUAGGGUGGUAACACUCAGAAAAAAUAAAAGUAGGCAAUAAAGUUUCUAUCCUGAAAUGCACUUGACACUGGAAAGAGCACGAAAUGACCGAGGUAGGGGGUGGGGAGGAAGGACAGCCCAGCUAGCCAACUUGCCUUACAGAAGCUCAGCCUAUGACUCUACUACUGUAUUUGCCUACCAUGUUAUUUUAAUCACGGGUAAUUACUGACAAACAAAAGCAAGUCAUGGCAGGGGAAGAACUGGAAUAAAGAAAUAAUUAAAAGCAUCCAGGGAUUUCUAUUAAGACCCGAUAUAGGAGAGUCAUUUUUUUAAAUUUUAAUAUUGCCAAGCUAGAACAUAAUUUAACCCAACAAAGCUCAGCUUUUAUUUAGGCAAUUAUCCUAUUGGAUUAAUAUUAUGGUU